rnacentral:misc_RNA from 1 species
ACGAACUCGAAAAAGUUUGAGACAGGCUCCGUGUUUUUAUCGCCCUACUGGCGCUUUCCAGUCGAUCAUUUGUACUGUAUAACUAGUUGGUUGACAUCUGUUAGUGUCAGGUGAUGAUUAGCUAGUGGUUUGUGUACAAGUUCAUUAGGAUGCAGUAGCAAACCUUGUGGAGAUUCUGAAUCAAAAGAAUAGGUUGGUUGACAUCUGUUAGUGUCAGGUGAUGAUUAGCUAGUGGUUUGUGUACAAGUUCAUUAGGAUGCAGUAGCAAACCUUAUGGAGAUUCUGCAUCAAAACAAUAGAUAUGAUAUAAAUCUAGAUGUGGGCCCUAUAAUGAAAGAAGUCACAAGAGGAAUUUAGAAGGGGGCCUAAAUUAUAUAACCAAAACUGAUAGAGAGUGAAAUAUGACAGAUGUUACAAAGAAAAGGAGUGUUGCAAAGAAAAGGAGAAAAAAUGCUUACAAAAGUGCAUACAAACUACAUGUGUACCUCACUGCCUAUUUAAAGGAGGGAGGAGGAGGGAGUUGGAGUAAAGUCCUGCUGGACCGAAAAGACUACCCUUGUGAAACAAGCAUAUCUGGCAAAUCAUUGUCUGAUGUACCAUGUUUGAUAAAGCCAGGCCUAGCUUGCCUUGAAUCCGAAUCAAGGAGGAAUAUUUGGUUUAAUCAUGUGGAAGAGACUCACAUUUUAUCUUCGACAGCUUCAAGCUUACCUGACAGUGAAUCUGAUUGUAUUGAUGUAAAUGCUUGGUCUGAUCAACCUAAUGAGUCUGUUGCAGAUUCGUUUAAAUAUGGUGUGAACAUUUGGUUUAAUCAAGUGCUCUUGAAUGGUUUAGACUUUGCAGAAAAAAGUGUAAAUCUUGAAAAUAUUUUAUAUUUUCAUAAAAACCUGAGUUGGUGUGAUGAUACAGUGUUUCCCUUUCCUAUUAAUGUACCUAUCCCGAGAACAAUUAAUGGUGCAGAGUAUACCAUUGAAAAUGUCAAGGAUCUGGUCAUGAAGGAAUUAAUAAACAAUAAUUUGAUGGAUUUUUAUGGUAGUCUCCUCAAAACUCUUCCCCAAGCAAUUCCUACUUUUUUCAUUAACAGUUCUUACCCUAAACGUUGUCAUGAUAACUUAGCUAAUGAAAUCAAGUCAUUCAAAAAGAAAAUGUUUCAGAUUAUUUUCAUGAACUUUGUUGGUACACUUGGCAACAAAGUUGAUUUUAAUACAACUGAAAUAUCUGCCACUCACUUCACCUUUUGUGUUUAUCAGUCUUGGAAUCAUUCAGUGGUGUAUUGUGACUCUCUCGGAUGGAGCAUGCCUGAAUCCCUCCCUGGAAUAAUUCAGUAUACCCUCCAGAACCUUUCACUUGAUGAAAAUCCGAAAUACAAGUAUGGACAUGUUCCUAACAAAGUUGAGGAUUUUUCUAACUCACCCCAUGUCUGUCAGGCCAAAUGUUCCCAAUAUAUGCCCCUGCAGGUUUGCAAUGAAAUUUGCGGAGUUGCAGUGAUUAUCAGCUUUGUUAUUGCCACACUUGACCCAGUGCUAUUUAAAGCAAUGGUGUUUAACGAAAAGCAUGAAAAUGUAGAGAAGCUGAGAUACCUGCAUGAGAUAUCUGAUUUCAAUGAUCAGUUGAGAUUAGUCCUCAUUGAUUGGCUGGUAUCAUAUAACAUUGAUUUGAGACAGAUAUUUAAAGCAUCAUUGUCGUCCACCCAACCCCUUUGAUACAGAUCCUUUUAAGUCUUACUUACAGGGUAUAGAAACGCGUCCAGUAUUUUCGUCUGGUACAACU